GCGUGGUCCAAGGACCACCACCCGCCACCGCCGCGCGAGCGUACUAUUGCGGCCGCCCUCUGCUGCGCCUGAAGAGAGAGGCGACUCUACAAGCCUCACAGCAUGCACUGUUACUAAAAAGACGAUGCGUCCUCCUGGACCUGAGAUCUGUGUGAUCGUGGGAAAGCGACGAAAAACGAACAAAGGAACAGUAAAUGGAGUAACUUGGCUAGAAUAUGGCAGUAACUACAAGGCAUGUUCUGCUCUGGCACGAAGGUAACCACCACUCAUACCUCUCCAGCCCUGUGAAUACGUCAAUUGACUAAGCAGAUUCCUUGAGGAUAAAGUAGGCUCCUGGGGACCUUGCUUGUUGGGCUACUUGCUUUGUGGAUGUUAAACAGAUAAUUCUCAUGAGUUUGAGUGACGUCUGAUCUACCAGUAUUCCCCCUACUCUGAUUAGAAAUGACUUGACCAUGCCAAAAAGAAUAAAAGACAGCUCUGAUACAAAUGUAGCCAUUUUAAUGUGACUCCCUCUAGAUCCAAGGAAGCCAGUACUUACGAACAUUUUCAGAGUCAAUACUUACUGUACUGUACCAUAGUCGAGGAAAAGGGUAUUUUUCCUAACUCUCCUGGAGUAGCACAUCCCAAGAUCUCAACUUUCCAAAACCUGGAUCAACUAUAUUUCUUUUCUUUCUCCAGCCACCACUCCCCUAGCCUGUUCAACUACAGCUAUGUUACCUGAACUGCUUUCCACUCUUUCCCAUAAAUGUAAUGAUUAGAACACUAAGUUUCAUAACCUGUAAUGACUUCUGAAAGUAUUUAAGGGAGGUGAAUCCCAGGAGCACUUUCCCAGCACUUAUUUGCAUAUGCAUUUACCCCAGGCCUCCCCAGGUGUUCCAACUUGUAGCUACUCCUUUGUCAGGAAAUAGAUUUCAACUUCUGUAACAACCUGCAUCCCUACCUGGUCUCCUUGUUUUAUUGCUUCAGAUGCAAACACAUAGUUUUGGUACUUGGCAAAACAGUUUUUUGUUUGUUUUUUAAAGGAAGACAACCACCCCAAGUCAGGGAGAGGAAGGUAAAGAUUUUUAGUAGGAUCUUACCUCUGAUGUUGUUUUUACUUGUUAUUGUUGCUUUUUUUUUUUUUUUUUUUUGACACGGUUUCACUGUCACCCAGGCUGCAGUCCACGGCUCACUCACUACAGCCUCGACCUCCUCGGGCUCAAGUGAUCCUCCCACCUCAGCCUCCCAGGUUGUUGGGACUACAGGCACAUGCUACUAUGCACGGCUAAUUUUUUUUUUCUCUCCAUUUUGUGGAGACGGGGUUUCGCCAUGUUGCCCAGGCUGGUCUCAAACUCCUGGGCUCAAGUGAUCCACCUGCCUAGGCCUCCCAAAGUGCUGGGAUUACAGUGAGCCACUGUGCCUGGCCCCCUGUUGCAUUCUAAUUGCCUA
rnacentral:lncRNA from 1 species